rnacentral:tRNA from 1 species
GGAGUUGUAGCUUAGUGGUUAGAGCAUUGAACUCAUACCUGAAAGGUUGGGGUUCAAUUCCCAAUCCCA